GCGUGGGUGAGGGUGGGCCCUCAGUUCAGCCACCAGUGUCCCUCUAAGAAGAGGGGAACUGGGCGCAGACAUGAGGGAGAAGGCCGUGCGAAGGCGGAGGCGGGGACCGGGUGACACAUCUCCAAGCCAACGAGGGCCAAGGAUUGCCAGCAAAUACCAGAAGCUGGGAGAGGCCUGGAUUCGCCCUCAGAGCCACCAGAACCAACCCUGCAGGCGGCCGCCUGGAUUUCUGGCCUCCGGAACUGAGCGAGCGUACAUUUCUGAGACUUGUAAUCCCCCAGCUUGUGGUGCUAGGCCUCGAACGCCUUUUUAGUGUGUGUGUGGGGGGGGAGGAUGGAUCUAUGGAAAUGAAAUCAAAUCCCAGCUUUUAGGGGAAAUGAUUUAGACUGCGCAGCUGGCCGCUGGGGUUGAUAGUUUUGACUCUCACCCCGCGGUUGUAAACGGCGAUCAGCGGGCUUUUUGCUACUGAUUACGCAACAGUCCCAGUCGGGAGGAGGGGGAGGCUAAGAUCCCGUCAACGCAGCCUCCAGCCCCUCGCGCUUCGGCUGCUCCAGGAGCCCCGAUGAUGGAAAACUCUGUUGUUGUUUUCUUUUGAAUCGCAGUGGGCUGGAUUGCUCACCGUCUCUUAGAGGGUGUCUCAAGAGGAGACCAACACGUUGCCUCACAGAGUCCUUAGGAGCCCCGCGCAGAGCCUCAUCUUGUGAAUUCUCUUACCCUGCCAUAACCCACAUCUCCCAGGAAGCCUUCCAGGGUUGCCCCAACCCUGUGCCUCCUCUGUCCUGUGCUCUCAGUGCCCUGAAUCCGUAUCUUGACUCCCAGUCCCCACUCUGUGUGGGGCAGAAUGGGUACAUGAAUGCCUCAAGCUUUCUGGACGGCGCUUUGUCCCCUUUCUCUCAAAGAUAAAUAUGCUCACACUCCCUGGCUGGGCACUCCCGUUCCUGGAAACUGUCCUCCAGAGAUGCUACCCAGAGUGCUUCAAGAUGAAUGGACCAGAAUGUUCGUUCCAGCACUGACUGGAAGCACACAGCACUACAGUGAGUAAUUUGGGCUUUGGAAGUCACGGCUACUCAGAUUUGCUAUCGUCCUGCAAAAGCAGCCAGGGGCAAUACGUGAGUGAGUGAGCAAGCCAGCCGCUGUGUUCCAAUAAAACUUUAUUCACAAAAGCGGACGGUGGGCCGGAGCUGGAGCCUGCGGCCCCCAGCACGGAAACAGAAAAGGGUCCUCACGGUCGGAGGAGGAGGAGGAGGCUGAGGGGCUGCCCACUCACCCCGGACGGGGGGCAAACCCAGGUUCUUUGCCGUCGCACGCGGCCCUUCCCAGGAUCGGAAUGGAUUCCAAAGACUGAUUUCAUGUCAGUUCAGUUUCGCGCGGCCUGACCCCGAAGAGUGGAGGGUCACCGGUAGCUGGAGACACUGGGAGAGCCGGGGCUGGCCAUCCAGCUGGAGGAGCUUCUCCGACGACGGCCUGCCUGCUUCCUCAGCUCCGGGGCUCCUGCACACGCAGCCCCGUGGCCCCCACGCACCCCUGCCUCUGCACCUGCUGUCUUUCUCCGAGAAGCUCGCAAGCGUGGUUGCUAAGGUCAGCUCAGAGAUCUAGCGCUCUCACUUCCCAAGAAAGAUGACAAAGGGGAAUCACGCGACGUUCUUUCGGCAAGUUGUGAGGUUGUGGUGGGCGGAGAGGAGAACGGUGGCCGUGCUCACCCCGAGCCGUGCGGCCCUGCCCCGGAGUGGGACGGCGAAUGAACAGACACGGCCACGCAGGGAAUUUGUCCCCUCUGGCCGGAAGGGCCCGAUGCGCUGGAGGUGCGGCCGCUGACCCCGCGUCGUGCCUUCGGCAGCCCUGUGAGUUAGGAUAAGAGUCCCAUUUUGCAGAUGGAGGCACAUGAGGCUCCAAGCAACUUUUCGAGAAACGAUACCUUUAAAAUGGCCGAAGGCUGAGGGGCGCCUGGGUGGCUCAGUCGGUUAAGCGUCCAACUUGGGCUCCAGUUAUGGUCUCACAGUUCGUGAGAGCCUGCGUCGGGCUCUGGGCUGACAGUGGGGAGCUUGCUUGGGAUUCUCUCUCUCCCUCUCCGUCUCUCUGCCCUUCCCCUGCAUGCUCUCUCUCCCUAAAUAAAUAAAUAAGCUUUAAAAUAAAAUACAACAACGGAGUACAAUGAAACUGCUGGAGGCUGGAGCUGACCCAAUCCACGGCCCCCACGUUUCACCACCUUGAGCCCCAAGCCCUGCGAGACCCUGUCCGGCAUCACGUUACGUCAACCUCAGGAAGGUGCUUUUGCGGUUUCGUCAGACUCAGGCAGUGACACUGGUCGAUGUUUCCAGGUUAUAUUCUGGGGCGGGGGCUUUGGCAAAGCUCCCAGGUGACAGGAGCCAAGUCUGCCCGUCCCCGUCGCCUUCUUCUUCCUCUCCUGGUGCCUUUGCCCGCGUCCACGUGCGUGUUACACCAGCCGUGACUUAAGGUGUAUGUGUGUGGGUCACCACCCCACGGGCGGGCCUGAUUCAGCGCCACCGAGAGACAGCACUGAAGCUGCCCACGCCCGCCGGGCCAUGAGGAAGACCAGAGAGGGCCUCUCCCCGGUCCCGACUCACACCCGACGUGCCGGGAAGGGCCACUCCGGAGGGGGGCUGAUGGCGGAAGGCUCACCGUCACCUGUGCCCACCCAGCCCGCCAUUGCUGUCUCUUGAAUGGCCACCCUCUGAGAGCAAUGGACCCGGUGCCGCAAUGCCCGUCCCAACCAGGCAGCGUGGACGGCAGCCCCCGACGCGGAGCGAUCACUGCACCCGCGCUCGGCUCUCGUCCGCUGCGCAGAAUGAACGUGUCUAGCACCUGCUUCUCUCGUCUCCACUCUGCCACGUGGGCGCUGGGUGGAACAGCAUCCGCCCAGAACUCCUGUCCAUCCAGAACCCAGGGACAUGUCCUUGAUUGGAAAGUAGGGUGCUUGCAGAGGUAAGCAGUUAAAUUCACACGAGGUCAUAGAGCAUCAAGGUCGGCCCUAACUCCAAUAUGGCUGGUUUCCUUAUAAAAAGAGGAGAGAGGGGUGCCUGGGUGGCUCAGGUGGAUAAGCGUCCGAC